rnacentral:rRNA from 1 species
GAUGAACGCUGGCGGCGUGCCUAAUACAUGCAAGUCGAGCGAACAGACGAGGAGCUUUCUCCUCUUACGUUAGCGGCGGACGGGUGAGUACCACGUGGAUAACCUACCUAUAAGACUGGGAUACCUUCGGGAAACCUGAUCUAAUACCGGAUAAUAUAUUGAACCGCAUGGUUCAAUAGUGAAAGACGGUUUUGCUGUCACUAAUAGAUGGAUCCGCGCCGCAUUAGCUAGUUGGUAAGGUAACGGCUUACCAAGGCGACGAUGCGUAGCCGACCUGAGAGGGUGAUCGGCCACACUGGAACUGAGACACGGUCCAGACUCCUACGGGAGGCAGCAGUAGGGAAUCUUCCGCAAUGGGCGAAAGCCUGACGGAGCAACGCCGCGUGAGUGAUGAAGGUCUUCGGAUCGUAAAACUCUGUUAUUAGGGAAGAACAAAUGUGUAAGUAACUAUGCACGUCUUGACGGUACCUAAUCAGAAAGCCACGGCUAACUACGUG